GAGGAACGUUUCACAUAGUUUAUCUGUAAAGCUGUCAUUACUAAGCCAAUUUUAGCUUCCCUAAGGCGAGAGAUUCCGAAACGCAUGAUGUCUAUACACAUUCUGGUUCUGUAUAAUAAACGAUAGUAAUGUCAUCUUCCUCGAUAUGUCCUUCUUGUACUUGUACUUGUGCACAGUACCAGCCUGUUUUUCAACCGCUGUUUUCAAUUUCAUCUUUGCUCCAUUUAACUUUUAUUUUUCGGUCAAUACAAAAGUACUCCUCAUAAGUAUCUGGUUUAAUGUUUGACAGUUCAUCACCUAGUUUAUUAUUCUUCGUGAAGAACGCUUCAUUGUUCUUACGCCUAAUUUUUCUCUCGAUUGUCAAAUACUCCUAAAGUUGCUGGAAAACAUCUUGAAGAUUGUGGAAUGAAAGGUC